GGCCGACUAGCUCAGUUGGUUAGAGCGUGGUGCUAAUAACGCCAAGGUCGUCGGUUCGAUCCCGGUGUUGGCCA
rnacentral:tRNA from 1 species